AAAAAAAAAAAAAAAAAAAAAAAAAAAAAAAAAAAAAAAAAAAAAAAAAAACCAAGGAAGGUCACGUGAUGAGUCACGUGGCCGGGUUCUUUGCGCACCAAAAAGGCGAGCGCUCACCGGUCGCCCUCCUCUGCCUCGUUUUCUCCCGCCAUCCUCUCUGUCUUCCUCCCCUCCUCCUAAAUGCCAAGCGUACAGUUACCUUACCCCAUUACUCAAUGAUAUUUUUAUGUGUCCCAAAUUUUCACGAAAUCCUUUGUUAUUUUUCUUCGCGAAAUAUAUUGAAUUUCUCUCAAUCCAAGACCCAUUUGUUCUGCGCAGCAUUUCCUUCUGCAGGUAGGUGUAUCAGUAGAUUUUACAUUUUCUCAAUCUAAUUAUGCAUUUCCUCUGGGUGUUUUCUUCUUUCUUCUCCACAAAAUGGUUUCUUUGUUCUGAUAUAGGGUCUCUGGAAUAAUGGCUUUUUGUUUCUUUCUAAACAGUAAAAAUCUUUCUUCUUUUUUCUGGAUUGGAGUUGAUUUGAUGUCUAAUUCCGACUUUUUCGUAGUUCAAGUAUUAUUUUCUACAAGAAGGGUUAAAAGCUAUCAUUUCAUUUUAUUAAUUGUGAUAUUUUUUGGGUUCAGUUGGUUAAGGGUUUUUGUUUACUGAGCAAUGAGGUAGAACAAUCAUUUGUGGGAAAGAAAACUAACCACUAGGGUUUCCUUUUAAAAUUCAAUUCUGUACUUGAAAGUUAUGUUAAAUAGAGCAUAUAUAUCUAUAUUUACAGUGCAAAAAUUCAGGCCCAAUAACGAUAAAUAUGGCUGCCUGCUGUUCUUUGGAGGAUCAUCUGACAAGAUUCAAGAAUGUCUGAAUUUGUUAUUUCUUCUUUUUAUAGGAUACAAGGCCCUAUUCAGUUCAUAGAGACUAUUUUCGGAUCAUGGGUUCACAGGAUCCUGUUCUGGCGGCUGACAAGGCUAAUGUAACGGAGGCCUCAGUGCGCGGGUAAGUUGUUCAGAUCUUAAUUUUGACAUAAGCUCAUAAGCGUUGUUGUGAGUGCUAGAAACUUUCUAUUAUCUGGAUUGGAUGUUGUAAUGCUUGGCAUAUUAUAACUAAAGGCUGGGUGUUCAUGUGUACUUUGGAACAGUAAAGCUUGUCCUACUUUAGAAGCUUGAUGAUGCAAAAUAGGGUAAGAUCUGGAAAAGGAGUUGCAAAUUGAAAAUUUAGAAAUGGGGUUUCUGAAGGAAUGAUGAAAAAGAUGCAGGGUACAUACGUUAUGUUGUGGAACCAGUAUAAGUUUUGUCCCUGUCGAAUUCUACUGAACUUUGGGGAAUGUUGGAUGUGCUGCCCACUAGUUAUUUGUUUCGGCCGAUCCUGAAUUAGAAAAUAGAUGUAACUAGUGAUGGAUACUUCUUGGAAUAGAAUUUACUCAGACAAAGUUUAUGGUAUCUAUGUGAAGGAACCUAUGAUUGAUAGACUUGCAUUAUCAAGGUUAAUAGUAGUGUUGACAGGUAGCCUUUCUAACUGGUUAGGGGAUUCAAAAUUAGGUGCAAAUCUUGACAGAAGUGUUCAUCUAAGAUCUAUUAUGAACAAAGAAUUUGAUUCACUGUUGAUAAAGCUGAUUUAUUUCAGAUAAAUGUUGUUCUCAUGUGGUAAUACUGUUUUUAAAAAAAUUUUAAAAAAAGCCACCUGUACUUUAUUGAUUUUGAACUUCAUACUGCUCAUGCUUUAUAAAAGAUUUUAGAGGGUCUUCCAACAGAAUUUCCUCUGGCUCAUUAUCAAAUUGUGUGAAGUCAUUUAGAAUAAUGAUGUACCACAUCCAAGUGGCUUAACAUGACUGUUUAUUUUAGGAUGAAAAAUCACUCAGAUUUCUUGGAUGGAUGUUUAGAAAGCUGUUUGAUGUGCAGGGCUUGUCCUAGAAAAAUUAGUUAGAGAAUCCACAAGGUUGAGGGAGUGAGAAAUAUAAGCGUGAGCAUUUUAGCGAGCUUUUUCUUGAGCUGGCUGAUGCUCUCAGUAAGUUGCCUUUUAUUUAUGAGAAGUUCACCAUGUCUCUCUUAAUGUAAUCAAUUUUUGAUAUUGUUGGAAUUUUAGAAAGUGUGUGAUGAGCGUUUGUGACGCUCUGAUACCGCUUGUUAGAUUGUAGGGUGAUUGUGAGUGGUGUUGCUAUGAUACCAUUGUUGGUUUAUGUGGUGAAAGGGUUUAGGACAAUAGGCAAUAGUUGAAAUAAAGUGAUUUUAUUACAUUGGAGGAGAAUAGUACAUAGGUGUAAGCUAAUUGGCCUUCUUCAUAGCUUAUUGACUUAUUGGCCUUCUUUAUUGCUUAUAUAGGCUUAUUGGCCUCCUCAACAUGGCUUAGUUUGGGUAGCUCUUGGCUCCCGCAUAGAUUGGGAGUUUAUUUGUUCACUCCACAUUUCAUUGUAGAUUGCAUGCCUAUUUAUAGAUGAUUGUUUGCCAACUUAGCCUUGGUCCACCGACUUGGGCACUUUCUCCCAACCACGUGUUUGUAGUCUUGCUCUAGAGAUUUCUUCCGCUGCGAUACUUUAGCCAUUCACUUGUCACUUUUUCUAGAAUAUUCUACCAUAUUCAUUUUGUUUUGCCGCCAUGCAACUUCUUUAUUGUGAGCUCUUGACUUUUCUAGAACUUUGUAGAACAAAUGAGCAUUAGUUUUUCAACAGAUAUGAUGGUGGGUCAUUCUUAAUUUGAGAUGACCCUUGCACAGAACUAAAUCAGCUGAACAAUUGAAAGGCCUCUAUAUGUUGUGUGAAGCUACUCGACUGUUAAAAGUACUUGCUUGGUCAGAUUCAGUACUUACGAAAGGAGAAUGCAUCCCCUGUUGUCUGAAUCUAGCUAUGUAUAAGGCACUUUACAAAUUUCUUUGCCCCCAAAUGUAUAAGGCAUUUGUGUAGAAGAUUCAAAAAAUAUACUUGAUUCUGUAGCUAUUUAGCUAAAACCCUAGUGGUUAGUUUUGGAUCAUUCCUUAUGCUUAUGCAUCUUUUUAAUGAAUCAUAUUUUCAUGCAAGUUGUUUGAAAAGUCAACAGAUGACCCAUGCAUGAGAAGAAUGAGAUCAGAGAGGAGGAUAAUUCUGCUGGCAGAGUCUCCUGCUGACGAUCACCACGAAUGGCUUACUUAUUGGAUUUAAUUUGCUCUGAUUACACUGUUUGAACUGAUAACCAUUGCCAAAGCCAUUGAGUGGUAAUUCUUUUUCUUUUUCAAAAUGUAGUUCCCAUGUUUUAUUUCACUUAUUUAUAUAUGGGUUUGCAUUGAAUGUGAUCAAAGGAGCAGUAUGGUUCUUUUUCAAAUGAUUCAUAAAAUUUUAGCGUGAAUUUUUCAUUUUGCUGUUGUAGUUAACUUUGUAAUUGCAUGAAUAAAUUAUUGGUAGUAGUUAAUUUUUUAACU
rnacentral:lncRNA from 1 species